rnacentral:rRNA from 1 species
GAUGAACGCUGGCGGCGUGCCUAAUACAUGCAAGUCGAGCGAACGGACGAGAAGCUUGCUUCUCUGAUGUUAGCGGCGGACGGGUGAGUAACACGUGGAUAACCUACCUAUAAGACUGGGAUAACUUCGGGAAACCGGAGCUAAUACCGGAUAAUAUUUUGAACCGCAUGGUUCAAAAGUGAAAGACGGUCUUGCUGUCACUUAUAGAUGGAUCCGCGCUGCAUUAGAUAGUUGGUAAGGUAACGGCUUACCAAGGCAACGAUGCAUAGCCGACCUGAGAGGGUGAUCGGGCACACUGGAACUGAGACACGGUCCAGACUCCUACGGGAGGCAGCAGUAGGGAAUCUUCCGCAAUGGGCGAAAGCCUGACGGAGCAACGCCGCGUGAGUGAUGAAGGUCUUCGGAUCGUAAAACUCUGUUAUUAGGGAAGAACAUAUGUGUAAGUAACUGUGCACAUCUUGACGGUACCUAAUCAGAAAGCCACGGCUAACUACGUG